AGAGGUAAGAGGUACUACAGGGGUAGGAGUGAAAUCUUGUAAAUCCCUGUGGGACCACCUGUGGCGAAGGCGUCUUACCAGAACGGGUUCGACGGUGAGGGACGAAAGCUGGGGGCACGAACCGGAUUAGAUACCCGGGUAGUCCCAGCCGUAAACGAUGCUCGCUAGGUGUCAGGCAUGGCGCGACCGUGUCUGGUGCCGCAGGGAAGCCGUGAAGCGAGCCACCUGGGAAGUACGGCCGCAAGGCUGAAACUUAAAGGAAUUGGCGGGGGAGCACAACAACGGGUGGAGGCCCUGCGGUUUAAUUGGACUCAACGCCGGACAACUCACCGGGGGCGACAGCAAUAUGUAGGCCAAGCUGAAGACUUUGCCUGAAUCGCUGAGUAGAGGUGCAUGG
rnacentral:rRNA from 1 species